CGCAUAACUACAUUUGCUGGAAGUAUUUCGUUACGUUGUACAAUCUUGACAAGGACCAUCCAGGAAACGCAAGAGUUUGUCCAAAAAUAACAAACAGACAUAUUGUGCUGGACAACACAUCGAAAAUGCGAGUCAGACUGGCAACUCAGAUCUUUAGUAACUCCGUUGCUGACGGGCUCGCAUUUUAUUUAUCACACGGAUGCCAAGGACUCAGCGGGUGCGAAGAAACAAUUUCCUUUUGUAAACGCUUCAACGAUAUGUUUGACGCAAUGAACCGAAAA